rnacentral:rRNA from 1 species
AGUGAACGCUGGCGGUAGGCCUAACACAUGCAAGUCGAACGGCAGCACAGUAAGAGCUUGCUCUUACGGGUGGCGAGUGGCGGACGGGUGAGGAAUACAUCGGAAUCUACUUUUUCGUGGGGGAUAACGUAGGGAAACUUACGCUAAUACCGCAUACGACCUACGGGUGAAAGCAGGGGAUCUUCGGACCUUGCGCGAUUGAAUGAGCCGAUGUCGGAUUAGCUAGUUGGCGGGGUAAAGGCCCACCAAGGCGACGAUCCGUAGCUGGCCUGAGAGGAUGAUCAGCCACACUGGAACUGAGACACGGUCCAGACUCCUACGGGAGGCAGCAGUGGGGAAUAUUGGACAGUGGGCGCAAGCCUGAUCCAGCCAUACCGCGUGGGUGAAGAAGGCCUUCGGGUUGUAAAGCCCUUUUGUUGGGAAAGAAAAGCAGCAGGUUAAUACCCCGCUGUUCUGACGGUACCCAAAGAAUAAGCACCGGCUAACUUCGU